GCACUGGAACGGGUUGCCCAGAGAGGUUGUGGAUGCCCUAUCCCUGGAGGCAUUCAAGACCAGGCGGGAUGUGGCUCUGGGCAGCCUGGUCUAGUGGCUGGCGAUCCUACACUCAACAAGGAGGCUGAAACUAGAUGAUCUUUGAGGUCCUUUUCAACCCAGGUCAGUCUAUGAUUCUAUGAUUUUUUAUUUAACACGUGCAGCAUAUUACCAGUCAAUAUUGUUUUGAGAAUAGCAGACCAUUUCAAGAAGUACACGUGAAGCAAUUCCUCUAGAGUUCUGUUGUUUUCCUUCAUAAUAUUCAGUACUAUAACUCACAAGCUUGCAAUGAUAUUUCUUUAAAAACACUGCAGUUUGCCAUGUUACCAGGUAGCUGAUAACAGAUCCAGUGAAAAGAAAACAAAAGCAAUGGUUUUCUUAUGGUUAAAGUUUAUAGAAAUGAGAGUUAUUUGAAAUUGUUUUGUUUGCUUUAUCUAUAAAUUAAGGCCACAUAUUCCACAUUUCUAUAUUUGAUCAUCUUUGCCCGUAAAACAUUGCCCAAGAAGAUCCUACUAGUUUUAAUUUUAUUGUUAUUCAGAAUCACUUUUGUCAAGAGAAAAACAUCUCCUUUUGUUUUGCAUAGUAUUUGUAAGUUAUCCUUCAGAAAAGCUCAAGUAAAUGAAACAGCUACAAUAACUAAUAAUUUCCAAUAAAUAAAACACCUUUUUUUGUAUGUUAGCAACUGCGUAGGAGGAUUGAUAAGGUAGCACACCUUAUCAUUGUCCCAAAUCCAUUACCUCAAAAGGCCUGGUAAAAUAGUUUUACUGAUAUCCUUUAAUACGUGCUGCAUGCACCAGGACAAAAAGUGAAAAAUUAGUGAUGGAGUAUUUGUCCCACAAAAAUUCAAGCAUAAAAAGACUCUUUCCUUACAUAGUAUAUUUGGAAACAUCUUAAACCUGAAAUUUCAAAAGUAUGCUGUAUUAUCAUAGCAGAACUGUUAGGUCACACCUUGAACUGGUGAUUGAGCACCUGGUGAAGGGGUGUGGCUGGCCUAGGCAGCCCCGGCAAAUGUUUGCACCUGUGUUCCCCAUGUGACCAGAAGGGGUGGACCCAGGGUGGAGCCACUCUGGGUUAAUAUAAGGGAUAGCCGCAGAAAAGGGAGGACCUGUUGGACCUGGGUUGUUCUUUGGGGAGGAGUGCUGUACAAUCAGUGAUCCCCUUCACUGGUUGGGUGACAUCAAUAGAAUAAAAGUCUUUGAAUGUCCAGGUCAGGCUGACUUCUGGGGCUGUCUUGGAGAAAUUGACUGCUAUGGAGUUAGCGUGCAUGCCCAACUGUCUACCAGGUAGCAGGCAUGUGAUUGCUGCAUGAUCAACUGCUGACCACUCCAAUGGUGGGGAGCAGGUGCUGUUGCCCUGAGCAACCAGAGGUGCAUGAGAGCAGAAUGAAGAAUAAAAAAACAAAGUUCAGAGUGCUCCCUCCACUGAACUGCAGCUGUACAGGUUAACAAGACAUCACUGGAUCCCUGAUGGAUAUUGAGGCAUGAAGCAUGAAACAGCACACCUCCCAAGCAAGGGAAGAGAGAAGGCCUUCUUUUUUGCGUGAAAUCAAAAAUUUGAUUGCAACAGAAGGAGUAACCAAAAUAUUGACUGAAAACUGCUCAGAAGUUCGGGAUACAUGUCUGCAAUUUGGGGAGGGAUGGUGUUAUAUAAAUUCUUUUUCUGCAGCAGUUUGGUUUCAUACUCUGCUCUGGGAUGUUCCUACAAAAAUUGAAUAAAAGUAGAAAAUAAACAUUAUGAUCAAGAAAUAUCUGGGACUGGUAAGGAGUGUCUCAAAUCAACAUGAGGCAAUCAACAUCACUAUGUGGACAAUUUUACAUUUGGAAGCGUCUCUUUGGAGUUGUUCACCUUCAAAAGGAAGGACCAGGAGUGUUUAUUGGCUGAAGACUUGGUCUGGGAGCAAAUGAAAACAGCUUGAUACAGGAGAUAAAGAGAUGACAGCAUUGUAUCCUGUGAAGACAAGAUACAAGCUGGCAUCUCCCUGCUUUCACUUCUCUGCUGACUUAAAUUUGCAAGACCUGGAAGACAGGAAUAAAGGAGUUCUUGCUGAGAUCCUGAAGCCAGAAGCUGUCACUUCAAAAGUAGUGGCUCAGCCACUUCAGACUGUAAGAGUUUUACUGUCGUUGUAUAGUCAUCUUCAACUGAACAACACAACCUCCAAUGACCCAUCACUGCUGCACAUCAGCACCUGAAACCAAGACAUUGUUGGAUCAGGGAGCAGUGAACUGCUUUGCUUUGCUGUGUUUGUAUAUCUGUCUGUCUCUCCCUGUUUUCUAUCUUUUCAUCUUCUUUUAUUCUUUCACUCUUUGUAGUAGCCGCUGCCUAAUAUUGUCUUACCUUUAAUGCUUAUUAAUUGUAAUUAGCAAAUUAGCCAAUUUUACCUUCAAGUAGUAGUUGUUGUUAAGAAAGCUCUCAAUAAAUUGCUGUGUCUUAUUCCCCUGA